rnacentral:rRNA from 1 species
GACGAACCGUGCGAACGUUGUUCGGAAUCACUGGGCUUAAAGGGCGCGUAGGCGGGCUGCUAAGUCAGGGGUGAAAGCCCACGGCUCAACCGUGGAAGUGCCUUUGAUACUGGCGGCCUGGAGGGAGGUAGGGGCGUGCGGAACUUCCGGUGGAGCGGUGAAAUGCGUAGAUAUCGGAAGGAACACCGGUGGCGAAAGCGGCGCGCUGGACCCCUCCUGACGCUGAGGCGCGAAAGCCAGGGUAGCGAACGGG